AAUAAACCAAUCUUUCACUUUUUACCUAUAAUUUUUGACUUUUCGUCUUAUUUAAAAAACUUGUACGAUUAAUAUUUUUAUUUUUAUUGAAUGAUAAAUCAUAAAUAGUAUCUUACAUGUGACUAAUUUUUUAAUUUUUUGAAAAAAAAUCAAAUAAGACGAAUGCUCAAACGCUAAACACAAGAACCGAAAAGUUGCCUUAUC
rnacentral:pre_miRNA from 1 species